CUCUGUGAGGCUUGAUGACCACAGACUUUAAACCAAAGACUGAUCCAUGGUGCUCUUCUUUUCACAGCCAGAAUACAGAGGUCUGGCAACCAAACGGUGAAGUCGAAAUGGCUCUUCUCACUUUUACUUCUAGCUUAUCUGGUUUUUGCCUCUUGCAUUGCUUUGUCACAUGCCUUCUCAAGACUUGUUACUCAAGGGUUACCAGACAAAUCCAUUUCGUAGCUUCAAUUACUAAGAGGAGCUUGAACUGGCAGUGACUCCAUUGUGCAAUUUGGAACACAAGAGAAAGCACGGAUUUUGAAGUUAGACAAAUCUGUAUAUAGAUAAUUCCAGCGGCAAAUGGGCAAGUCACAGGAUUUUAGCUCCACAGAAAAGAAGUCUGAAUAAUGAGAGCUGCACCCAAAUGGAGCUGGACCCCCACAACAUGCUGGGCCCACCAUACAGCAAGGGUUCAAGUACAGGUUGGAUGAACCACUCUUCUCACAUUGUGGGGGGAUAAUUACAGUUCAUUGC